GAUGAACGCUGGCGGCGUGCUUAACACAUGCAAGUCGAACGAUAAAGCCCAGCUUGCUGGGUGGAUUAGUGGCGAACGGGUGAGUAACACGUGAGUAACCUGCCCUUGACUCUGGGAUAAGCCCGGGAAACUGGGUCUAAUACCGGAUAGGAGCGCCUGUCGCAUGACGGGUGUUGGAAAGAUUUUUCGGCCAUGGAUGGACUCGCGGCCUAUCAGCUUGUUGGUGAGGUAAUGGUUCACCAAGGCGACGACGGGUAGCCGGCCUGAGAGGGUGACCGGCCACACUGGGACUGAGACACGGCCCAGACUCCUACGGGAGGCAGCAGUGGGGAAUAUUGCACAAUGGGCGGAAGCCUGAUGCAGCGACGCCGCGUGAGGGAUGACGGCCUUCGGGUUGUAAACCUCUUUUCAAGUAAGGGAAAGAAAGCGAAAAGGGAACC
rnacentral:rRNA from 1 species